GACGAACGCUGGCGGCGUGCCUAAUACAUGCAAGUCGAGCGAAGUUUUUCUGGUGCUUGCACUAGAAAAACUUAGCGGCGAACGGGUGAGUAACACGUAAAGAACCUGCCUCAUAGACUGGGACAACUAUUGGAAACGAUAGCUCAUACCGGAUAACAGUAUUUCUCGCAUGAGAGAUAUUUAAAAGUUGGUUCUGCUAACACUAUGAGAUGGCUUUGCGGUGCAUUAGCUAGUUGGUGGGGUAAAGGCCCACCAAGGCGACGAUGCAUAGCCGACCUGAGAGGGUGAUCGGCCACACUGGGACUGAGACACGGCCCAGACUCCUACGGGAGGCAGCAGUAGGGAAUCUUCCGCAAUGGGCGAAAGCCUGACGGAGCAACGCCGCGUGAGUGAAGAAGGAUUUCGGUUCGUAAAGCUCUGUUGUUAGGGAAGAAUGGAUAUGUAGUAACUAUACAUGUAAGAGACGGUACCUAACCAGAAAGCCACGGCUAACUACGUG
rnacentral:rRNA from 1 species